CGACACUAGUCGAACUUUGUUCUCGACUACUGAGUGACAAUAUACUCGACGCCCAAGGCAAUCUAAGUUGACUUCCGAGUGGGGAGUUCGUUUUUGGUUUUCCAAAACGAACGAUGAUCUGCGGCAACAUCGGGAAUUACGCGGCAUCGACGAAAGUCGUGCCACGUCUCGAUGUUGUUGACCCGUCUCCUGAUUUGGGAUCACUUGUAUCGUUUGCCGAUGAUAUUCGUUAAAAAGAUGUGGCUAUGGCAGGUUGCUUGGGGAUCUUAGUUUUAACUUCGAUCUUAGUUUUAAGCUUAAUCGGUUUCUUCACGAGAUUCGCAUGAUUUGUCUGAUUGUAUGGCAUGUUCUUGUUUGAUUGUUGCCUUACGAUUGGAUUAUUUGUGUGAUCGAUGACAUGAUGUUACUUGUUAAUCUUAAAACUUGUGAGGGUGAUUUGGCAUUGUUGCGUUUGUUGACGAGUAUUGUUGAACGAUGAUGCAAGUGUUUCUUGGUAGCUCGUUUGUCUAGUGCGUUGCUGAUGAGAUUCGUCUCAAUAGGUGGUGUCAUGUUGCUUGUUGUUCCUAGUUUCAAGCUUGUUAAGCUCAAAACACAUGGAUUAUCGAUUUGUGACAGGUCAUCGCAUCUUUGGUUGAUGAAGGUCGUUCAAUGACGCAUUGGUUUGUUUGUGUUCUCGCAUCGUUCGGUGCAUUCUGGGGUCAUUUUGGCUAUUAGCUGCUUUCCUCGCCUUUGAGCUUGGUGGGUGGUUGUUAGUUGGGUGAUUUCGGGAAUGUCUACCGUAAAGGUGCAUGAGUGGUGUUUGGUUUGUUACGGGUGGUUGGCUCUUUGCUUGCGCAACAACUUCCACCUGGCAUACCUCUUCAGUCUUGUGUCAAUGCUUGUAUCGCAUUGAAUGCAUGGUGGGUUUCCUGUGUUGCAUGCCUAAUUAUGGUAUCAUUUGAAGAAUUGAUGUCAAUUUUCGUCUUGUGUCGCACAUGCGAUGUGAGAUGAACCUUGAAGCAGCCUUUGUGUUCCACUCUUUCGAUGCAUACACAUUGAUUUUGUGGCCCAUUGAGUGUUGCUUGGUCUCAUGGAUAUGGAACCUGGUGUGGGCAUGGGAUCUUUACUAGUUCCUUGUUUGCCCUGGUUUAGCUUUUCUAAUACGAUUGUCUAUCAUGUCUUGACAUGGUAGGCUAUAUCGAAUAUGAAUGCUACC
rnacentral:misc_RNA from 1 species